ensembl:lncRNA
AUCCAGGUUAGCACCUCCUCCCCAGAUGCCACCAAUAGCCCUGGGUUCCUGUUGGGUGACAGGGUGAGGCUAUGGCUUUUGCCACAAGACCAGGUCAGGCAGGAUGACAAGGGGCACCAGGUGACGACGGAAGGGAAUGAGAUGAUCACAAUAUCGAGAGAGCUUAACCCAAGCAAGCAGAGGAUUUAAUAAACUCCUGGCCUAGCCUGCUGCCUGCAAGGUCACCACUUAUCUGGGUCUGCAGAGGGCUUGCAAGGCGCUGGCAGCCCUCCAACUAUGUUUGGGAGUUUUUACUCUAACCUAAGGCUGCCGGACUCCCACAUUUGACAUUUUCCAAGUGCUGCAAAUGGCGAGGCAGCAAGUGGGAGCAAUGAUCCUAACAGCCAGCAGGGAGAGGGGGAGCAGUUGUUGAGGUUUUCCAAGAGCCCCGGCAAGCGUGAGGGCUCCACGGCUUGAGCUACUCCACUGGGGAUGCUGCAAACACAGUGCUCACCGCUUGAGAGUCUUUUAAUUACAGCCCAAGUGGGGAAUAAUCAAGUUUUGCAAUGGGGAAAUGUUUGGGGUAGCGUUAUCAGAGCUCUGUCUCUGCUUGGUUGCCUUCUUCUCCACGUGCAAUCAUUCUGCACCACCAUGGUGCAGGACCUUGCAGUGGAUCCUAUGCAUUUGAUUUCUGCAAAGCUAUGGGUCUGGGCUGCUGUUCCCAUUUUGCAAAGAAAUGGGACCAAAAAAAAAAGAGAUAUAUCAGUGAUGGAGAUUCAGCAAAAGAAGUUGUGGUCAUGAAACCAGGUUUCUCAAUGUAAGAACAAACCACUCUGUGCCUUAAGCACAGUAGUCACUCAGGGUUAAGUGCAUGGAGUCACUGUAAUUAAAGAGCUGUAUUCGUUAAGAGAUGUGCUGCUAGAUGCACAAUAAUUCCAAUGAGCUGAGGUGCUCUAUUUCUCAGCUGGGAAUAUUUCUGUUGUUGGAUGGAAAGUGCAGGGAAGAAAUCUACAGUGAAGAGAGGUUAAAAAUAUAAACUCACUUGUUGUUUUCUUUCCCUUCUUUCCCUCCUUUUAUCUGGCUGGAAAACAGGCUGUGCGGGACAGGGAGUAAAAGAAAACAAAAGAGGAAGGAAAAGUGGAAACAAAAGUGCUGUGUUUUACUCCUCCUCUCUCAAGGAAAGCAGUCCAGACAACCUCUUCCAAAACAUACUUUUUCACUCGAGAGAUGCCCCAUUGAAAAAUGUAUGUUUCUGGGAGAGGGAAUGAUGGAAGAAGAAGAGUGGCAGAGGAGAAACGGGAAGUGCUCGAGUACAAAUGGGAUUGGAAGUGCAAAGGGGGUUAUUUGUCAGAUAGGGAGGAUUAUUUUACAUCUCGACCACCUAUGCAACCACGUGCAUCUGCCUAAAUGAAAUGUUGGUUUAAUCAUCCUGGUCAAAGUCCUUUGGCUGCAGCCAUGGCUUGUUGUACUGUGGAUUAACAGGGGAAAAAUAAUUAAGGGAUUCCAUAUAUACAGUUUUUCUGGCUUUGGCAAGGAACCCCAGGGUCAGAGAAAAGCUCUGAUUUCAAACAACUGUAUUUUGAGUGAUCCUGUUUAUUUCAAGUGUCUGCUGAGGCUUUGACUCUGAGCUAUUAAUACAGAAUAAAUAAUUUUCACACGAG